AGAGGCUGGCCCUCCUGAUCUGCACCCAGGCGGCUUCUACACCACCCUGCAGCAGGCCUGGCCACCGGCCUCAGCGCUUCUGGGAGAAGGUCAGCCAGGUGGAAGAUGGAGAGGGCUUCUGGACUGAGCCCUGGAGGGGGGCUAGGGGCCACCAGCAGGCAGAUGAGCCCUGGGACCCAGCUGGCCAACCCACCUGACCACGGUGACAAGGACUGCUUGGGAAGGAUAAGCCCAGGUUCGGGAAAGCAAAUUCAGGCUGCAGGACAGCUGCCCGGGCCCCCCACAAGCCUGGCACCAGCCCAGGGAAGACUGAGGAGCCUCACUCCAUGGGGACUGCAAACACCUGAACACAGCGAACCUGAAGGUAUAGGGCAUCUUCAGGCUGCUACUGAGGCGGUCCUGCCGCACUCAACCCAGAACCUCAUCACUAAAAGGAACCUCAUGGUUCAGGCUAGAGUGCAGUGGCGCGAUCUCGGCUCACUGAAACCUCCGCCUCCCAGGUUCAAGCAAUUCUCCUGCUUCAGCCUCCCAAGUAGCUAGGAGUACAGACAUGGUCUCACUCUGUUAUCCAGGCUAGAGUGCAGUGGUGUGAUCUCAGCUCACUUCAACCUCUGGCUCAAGUGAUCCUCCCACCUCAGCCUCCCCAAGUAGCUGGGACUACAGGCACACGCCACCAGGCCCAGAUAAUUUUUUGUAUUUUCAGUAAAAACAGGGUCUCGCCAUGUUGCCCAGACUGGUCUUAAACUCCUGAGCUCAAGCGAUGUGCCUGCCUUGGCCUCCCCAAGUGCUGGGAUUAGAGGCAUAAGCCACCAUGUCUGGCCCCCAGUGGCUUCUAAUCCGCCCUAUCUAUCCAUCAAGCCUGGGUGGGGUGGGCUUGCUCAGUGUCCUUCAGAUUCCUUCAUCAAUUAACUCUUUUGUGUACGAGGGUGUCCCAAAAGCAGCAGCCGCGAGUAGAAUUUGCCUUGGGUCAUUGCUGUAGUCUCCCGCAUCCAGGAAAGAUCUAGGCCGCUCGCUUUCCACAAACCUUCUGGCUGAAACAAGCCACUUACCUGGCUGCAGUGAAGACACUGAUGCCGCUACUGAAGCUGGAGUCACAGGAACCAUCUGGACCUCCUGGGAGAGGAAGAGGAACAAGGGGUCAUGAAAGGCUGUUGGCUCUCUUGAAUAAACAAGACCCCUGUGACAAGCACACACAGAACUCUCCAGAGCCCCAUACCUUGAUUCAGGCUCUUCAAAAGGACCAUGGCUCUGGAGCCCUGAGGACCCAACCAACGCCCAGUCAUUCUCGAUAGUCCCCAAGCUUGUAAGUCUGUAGUCACAGUGAUCUCACAAGGAGGGGACACCAGUGCUAAACACAUCUGUCAAAUCUCAGAAGGGAUCACUGGCCUGAGGGGAAUGGAUGUUUAAAAUGACAGAUAAUACCCAGCAUCCUUAGCUAUCAGGAAAAUGCAAAUCCAAACCACAAGAUACUACUGUACACCCAUCAGGAUGGCUAAAAUAAAAGACAAAUAAUAGCAAGUGUUGAUGAGAAUGUGGAGAAACUGGAACCCUCGUACAUUGCUGGUGGGAAUGUAAAAUGGUGCAAGCUGCUUUGGAGAACAGUCUGGCCAUUCCUCCAAAGGCUAAACAUAGUCACCACAUGACUCAGCAGCUCCACUCCUAGGUAUAUGCCAAAGAGAAAUGAAAACUUAUGGCCACAUGAAACCUUGUAUAUCAAUCAUGUUCACAUCAGCAUUAUCUACAAUAGCCAAAAAGCAGAAGCAACCCAAAUAUCUAUCAACAGAUGAAUGGAUAAAUGAGGUGUGGUAUAGCCAUACAAUGGACUAUUAUUUGGCAAUAAAAAGGGAUGAAGUACUGAUGCACGCCAUAAAAAUGAACUUUAAAAACAUUGUGUUAAGUGAAAGAAGCCAGUCAUAAAAGACUACAUAUUGUAUCCCUUUCUCGAAAGUGUUUAGAACAGGCAAACCUAUGGAGACGGAAAAUGGACUGGAGGUUGCCUAGGACUGGAGGAGACGGGGGAAUAGGGUAUAAUGGCUAAUGGAUUCUUUCAAGGGCACGGAAAAUAUUCUAAAAUUGAUUGUGGUGAUGGUUACAUAACCCUGUGAAUCUACAAAGUCACUGAAUUGUACACUUGAUGUUGGGUGAAUUGUGUGGUACAUGAAUUCUAUCUCAAUAAAGGGCUUAAAAAAUGA